rnacentral:rRNA from 1 species
CCUACGGGAGGCUGCAGUGAGGAAUAUUGGUCAAUGGACGAGAGUCUGAACCAGCCAAGUAGCGUGAAGGAAGACUGCCCCAUGGGUGGUAAACUUCUUUUAUAUGGGAAUAAAAGGUUUCAGGUGGGGGAUUUUGUAUGUACCAUAUGAAUAAGGAUCGGCUAACUCCGGGUCAGCAGCCGCGGUAAUAAGGAGGAGGCGAGCGUUAUCCGGAUUUAUUGGGUUUAAAGGUAGCGUAGGUGGAUUGUUAAGUGAGUUGUGAAAGUUUGCGGCUCAACCGUAAAAUGGCAGUUGAAACUGGCAGUCUUGAGUACAGUAGAGGUGGGCGGAACUCGAGGUGUAGCGGUGAAAUGCUUAGAUAUCACGAAGAACUCCGAUUGCGAAGGCAGUUCACUGGACUGCAACUGACACUGAGGCUCGAAAGUGUGGGUAUCAAACAGGAUUAGAUACCCUUGUAGUC